rnacentral:lncRNA from 1 species
AAGCAAGGAAGCUGGCAGCCCCCAACCCCAGCCGGCCUGAAGAAGCCGCCCAGAGGUCGGUGGAACCCCACUGGGGGCCCUCCGUGUGACCUUGUCCGGUCCCAGUAUCGGGGCAGAGCGAGAGAAGGAAGGAGAAAGGGGAAGGCAACUUUGGAAGAUCUUCUGGGUCCCGGGAGGCUGUGGCCAGACGCUUCUCCCCCCAGCCCCGCCGCCGCCGCCGCCGGGGGCCAAAUUCCGAGGCCAGCUGCUGUCCGUGCGGUGAGGAAUCCGGCCCGACGGGAUUCCUGCGCCACUCCCCCUCCUCGAGAGAGGGUGCGGGGCCCCGCGGCAGGGGCAGGGCGGGGGUGCGCAGAGCGCGGGGUGGUCCCCCGGCCCCUGGGGUCCCUCCGCGGCAGGGCCGCCCCCGACAGCGCCCCCAAGUCCCCCACGCCCGCCCGACCCGGCGCGAAUCGCCCCCCAACGUUGGCCUGGCAGCCGCUAACGGCUGGCCCUCCGACUGGCUUGUCGAGGCUGCCGCAGCACUUAGAGCAGGAACAAGGUACCGCCCCCAGGCUGCGGCGCCAGCGUGUGACCCGGCAAGGGUGCCCGGUCCCCGGGGGCGGGACUACUCCGGGCUGCGACCGGGGCGAGCACCCGCGCAGCCCGCCCGCCCGCCCGCCCGCCAAGCGCAGCGGCCUCGGGGCUCGGGCCGGAGACGCCGACCCUCUCCGGUCCCGGCCGCCUGCACCCACUGGCCCCUCGCCCUCCUUCAGCGCCCGCGCGUGGCGGGUGCCCAGUGAGUGUUCAACGAGUGAGGGGACUGGGAGAUUCCCGAGGUGGGGGCGCCAGCGUGGCCUGAGUUCUAAUCCCAGUUCCGCCCUAGUCCCUAUUCGCAGUUUGGCGCUGAGCGGGUGGAUCCCACCGCUCACCGAACACGCCCGGCCCUCGCGACAGAGGCACCGUGAGUACGCCCGCCAUCCGGGCGCAUCUUGGGCACACGCUGCCCAGUCCCCCGCCCCCUCUGCAGCGGGCAAGGACCACGUGACUCCUUAAGUAGGCCACUUCUCCUGGGCGAGCCUCUCUGCCCUCCUAUUCCCCUUGUCUCCGACCAGCAGCCAAGGGUCCAAGAGAAGCAGUUGGGGCCGCGACACGACCGCCAAGGCGCCCCGGGGCCCUGAAUCACCACGCGGAAUUCUCCCUGGCCACGUGAGCGAACCGAGACAGGAACAACAGUCGAACAUGGCCCUCGAGGGCGUGUACCUAGUACACCUGCCCGGGACUCUUCCCUUCCGUGGGAAGCCAGGGAGCUGGCCGCAAGGGGAAGCCAACAGCAUCGCAGGAAGGAAGGAUCUGGAUCCCAGGGCCGAAGAGAGAGGCCUGGCCGGCAACAUGGGCGGGGAGUUUGCUUGAGCCAGACGCAGAGCCUCGCGGUGCACAGCUGCUGCCCUUGGGGGACUGUCCUCAUGGCACCUGGCCUCCCCUUCCUUCGCCGUGUCCACCCGGCAAACCCCCAUGCCAGGUGAACCCAACCUGCCCUUCUCAACUGCCACCGGAAAGCUGAAUGUUCCUGAAGAACACCCUAUAACUGGUUCAACUGGUUUUACCUUCAAUCGGUGCCCUGAGCCAGGGGGGUCCUUAUUCUGUCCUACUGCCUGUUCCAGGAGGUUGGUCUUUCUCAGCCCAGGCGACCCACUUUACCAUCGUAAACGCUUCUAAGGGUACAGUUCAGGACUGUUCACGGAAGUUCUUCAAGCUAUUGUGAAGCAAACUGUUAGGAAUGUUGGUGUACAAAUACCUGUUCAAAUCCGCACUUUUUUUUUUUUAACGUUUUAUUAAUUUCUGAGACAGAGGCAGAGCGUGAGAGGGGAGGGGCAGAGACAGGGGGAGACACAGAAUCCGGAGCAGGCUCCAGGCUCUGAGCUGUGAGCACAGAGCCAAACGUGGGGCUCGGACUCACGGACCGUGAGAUCAUGACCUGAGCCGAAGUCGGGGGCUCAACCGCUGAGCCACCCAGGCGCCCCUCCUUUCCAAUCUUAAAAAGGAAUAAAAUUCUGAUUUUCCACA